GCACUGCUGAAGAAUCUCAAACCAGGACGAAACGGCCGUCUAGUGC
rnacentral:hammerhead_ribozyme from 1 species